CACGUAGGGCGCGAGCGUUGUCCGGAAUUAUUGGGCGUAAAGAGCUCGUAGGCGGCCUGUUGCGUCCGCUGUGAAAGCCCGGGGGCUUAACCCCGGGUCGGCAGUGGAUACGGGCAGGCUAGAGGUAGGUAGGGGAGAAUGGAAUUCCCGGAUGUAGCGGUGAAAUGCGCAGAUAUCGGGAGGAACACCGGUGGCGAAGGCGGUUCUCUGGGCCUUACCUGACGCUGAGGAGCGAAAGCGUGGGGAGCGAACAGG
rnacentral:rRNA from 1 species